CUGCGCCUCUCCCUCUCUCUCUCUCUCUCUCUCUCUCUCUCUCUCUCUCUGCGCCUCUCCCUCUCUCUCUACGCCUCUCCCUCUCCCUCUACAGUCGAGCUAUGUCCGCUGCACCCGUUGGAUAUAUGAUGUUCCACAACAAGCGGGUCCCGUCUGCUUCUUCCUACUCCAAGCAGACGUAGGAAUAAAGUCCUGAUAUAGGAAUGCUGCGGAGAUUUGGCUUCUUUUCUGUCCCUGGUUAUUGGAAGGACCACCGGUUUUGGCACUAUUUGCAGGAGCACUAUUGGAAAAACAAGUUGUAGUCAUAUCCCCAAAUUUGGUGAGUUGAUACUUGUUUGGAUGCUUUCCAAUUCAAUUUUUUAUGAGCAACUUUCUUCAAAAUAUGUCAAAUUUAGGAGCGGUGCAAUUCAAAAGUGAGUCUAAUGAACAACCUGCUUAGAUAUAUGUAAAAACCUCAAAUAGAAAAAAAAAGUUCAUGCCUCUUUUGGAAAUGUGUGGCAAGAGCCCUACUGAGUUUUUGUUAAGAAACACUGAAAAAACAGGGUCUGUUAAAAAAGACAAUAGCUGAGCUUUAUAAUGCCCACAUCAAUUUCAAUCUUGUUGAGAAAAGAAGAUAGCUGAGCUUUAUAGUCUGUUAAAAAAAUGUGCUUGGACAAUCUAUGAUAACUAGACAUUUCAUUUCAACAAAGAUGCAGGAUCCAAGACCACUAUUGUAUUCACAUGUUGCAUUACAACAUGAAACACCCUGGCCAUUAUCAUCUGCACAUUGUAGAUAUUGAUGAAAACUAUAGUUCCGACAAUGACCAGAGAUGUAUCUGUUUUAUCAAUGGUGGGAAAGAUUGAAAGAAACAAACACACACAAACACAAAGCUCUGCCAUAUCUAGUUCAGUUGUGUUAAAGGGAGCGCCAUGGGAAGUCAAAUCGCUUGUUAAGGAAACGAACUCAAAAAUGAAAAACUUUGCCUCUUCAGAUGGUUACCUCGGGUAUUUGUAUUUCACGGUUGGUAGCUUCAUCAGCUACAACAGAAGGGUUGGUGACAAUGCCAUUUGUGACUUCUUUAAAAAAUGCUUCCUCAGUUGAUGACUUUGGAGCAGUAGGGGUCAAGCCAGGAACUAGAACAGGACCUCCAUGGCCAAUUGGGAUCCUAGCUUCUUCCACACUUAUCCAGUUCUCAUUGUUUACAACUCUUAUAUUGCUUCCUGCUGCAUGCUCUACGAGGUUUGGUUCCUUGGUCAGGUUACCCAUCGAUUCUUCUGCCAAGAUAACCAGUAAAUCCCCUGUUGCAUUAGCCUCUGAUACAUUUAUCAGAUCAGCCAGUGGUUCCUCUGUUACUUUCCGAAGAUCUGCAUUCUCCCAGUCUUCAGAAAUGAUGAUUGUAUUCUCAGUUUACGAA